CUAUGGUCACUUUAUUGGGUGGGGCAAGCCCCAGUACGGCUGGCUGUAAGGUCUAACAGCACAGAAUGAGUGCUGUUUUGUUGUUACGCAAGUUACUCCCCCAGUGUGGCUGGUUGUUAGACUCAGAGGUUCACAAUUGCUUCAGGCCUCCAGUGCAGCUCUCUGCAUCAUGCAACUGUUGUGGGUUCUCUCAGGAGUGCAGAUGGGUGGGGCCAGCCCCAGGAACACAGUCCACAAUCUUUUCAGGUGUUGGUAUGUAAGGCAGAUUCCCUAUGUGGCUGUUUCAGAUGGCUGGCAGCACAAGUCUGCUGAUGCAGAUAUGCCCCACCACCUGCAGGUCCCAUGCACUCCACUAAUGCGGGCUCACCUGUCUGUAUGCCCUCCUACCCUGGGGUUGACCCGCUUGACCUGCAGCAGAGUUCCCAUCGUUCCCAUAGUUCCCACCUAUGUGAGCACACAAGUUUGCUGCUGGCUUGCUGGUGGCAGGGACAGUGCCUGGUUUGGGCUGCCUGUCCUGACUGUGCUUGAUUAAAUCAGUGCUCUAGUGGGCAGGGCAAACCCUUGUGCUCACAGGCUAGAGGAAGGAAUCCAAUGACAUCUGCCAGUGUCUGUGUCAGCACCACUGAACUAGGUCACAAUAAUAGCUGCUUCCAGUAUCUCAGUCCCUGGUGGGUGGGCUCAGCUGCCUCCUGCCUCUCUGAGAUGUGCUCAGUGCCUAACAAAUGCAAGUCAUUCUUUGCUCUGAUGAUUAAGAGAUGGUAGAUGGCUGUCGAGUCCCAACAUGUAGAUGAAGAAGGUUAUCUAAAGAAAAAUCACAAAGAGUCAAUGACUUCAGCCCUUGGGGCAGGAGGAGAAGAUGCAGUUACAGGAAUCACUCAGCCCUGGACAUUCGGAAACUUUCUUGUGCACUGGGAAGGACUCUGGUGCAAUUUUCAGGUUUUCUUUCUGACUCUUGUAUUUUCUGCCUUCAGGAUUUCUGUAUUCACACGCCAGCUUCUUCAAAACUGUAAUGUACAAAAGACUAACUGCUAACUGAUGAUGUUUAGACAAAGGUUGCCUUGAUCGAAUACAUUUGAGACACUCAUUCUCAAUCUUUUUCAGGGAUUUGAGUCCUCAGAAAUAAUGCAGAUAAAAAUUUACCAACUGUCAUGGGGCUGCCCUCGUGGCCGAGUGGUUGAGUUCGCGUGCUCCGCUGCAGGUGGCCCAGUGUUUUGUUGGUUCGAAUCCUGGGCGCGGACAUGGCACUGCUCAUCAGGCCACGCUGAGGCAGCAUCCCACAUGCCACAGCUGGAGGGACCCACAGCGAAGAAUAUACAACUAUGUACCAGGGGCCUUGGG
rnacentral:lncRNA from 1 species